AAUACAGGGUUAGUGCGAUUUGGAGUCUGCCAAGGGUUUGAGGAGUGAAGCAAGAUGCAGAACGAGUUUCUUCUCAUUAAUGUGUAGUUACCGGGCUAUUCAACUAGACUGCCGCCUCCAAACUUUUCUCUGCCUGCAAUCAAUUUCUUAAAAACAACAAAACCAAUCACGGAUUAUAUCAAGACGAUGAUGAUAAUGAUUUCAUCAUCUCUGGGAUGCAUACGGAAGUUUCCAUCAAUUCUUUUCAUUGGCAGAUCGCAAGCAAUGGGACAGGCCUAUUUGGAUUAUUAGUGUUGGAGCAGUUUGAGGCGCAUAAUGCUUUGGAUAAAACUGGUGGGACUGCAUAUGCAAUGGGUCUUUAGGUCUAGCCUCUUAAGUUGUUAUUUGAAGGUCUCUUGAUCUUUUCAGUUCACAUCUUGGUAUUGAUGCCAAUGCUUUCUGGUGUGGUUUUCCAAUGCUCAAUUUUAAGCCUAUUGCUUCGUUGUUUAUGCCCAUGAAAAUAUGAAUUAUUCUUCCUUCUGUUACAACUGAAGAUCAAACAACUGCACUUCUUAAAGCUGGUGAAGGUUGUGAGUUUCUUAGAUUGGGAGUUGCGGGCAUCUUUGAUCCUAAGGGUACCGUAUUUGGAGUUGGAGAAGAAACCUGGCAGUGCAUACAAAAUUAUGUUGAAAUUUAUGAAUUUCAUUCAGAUUUGGUCGACAUGGGGUUAUGGAGGUAGUAUCUACACUCAUAUACGUAUACGUUUGCUUGGCAUUCAUAUAUUUGACAUAUAACCUGUUGUUUUCAAGUAGAGUAUCAUCCAUGCCGUGCUCAUUUUUCACAGAAUAAGCCAAACCAAUCUCUUUGGACGCCAACUUCAUCGGCAUUCCAUCUUCAGCCUUAAUGAUUCCAGCUGCCUGUUCCUCGUAAGAAUGUUUUGUUACUGUUUCAACGAUGAAGAGCUAGAAAUAUGAUAGAAAAGACUGCUCAUAACCUACAAGUAACCUGUCCUUCUGUUCCAAUCAGAUCUUCUUGAUAUCGCCAGUGAUCAUUUAGAGCCAUAUCAAGUUCAUUCUUGUUGUAGUUCUAAAGGCCGUUGCCAUGCUUUUCGUAGAAAUGCACAAAGGAUUGGAAUUGUGUUGCUGAGUUACUUGCAAUGCAGGUGAUGAAGGCUACAAUUGAAGGCUAGCUUUGGUCCAAUUCUAUUUAAUUAUAAAUUCAAUAGGGGGGGAUGCGACCUGUAGCUAGAUUAGUUAGUAUGUAUAUGUGUAGCCUUUGCUACCUGAAACCAUUUGGCACAUGUAUUUACAAUACCUAUGUGGAAAAUAUUCUAAUAAUUUUUUUUUUUCAAUAGUUUUUAUUAGUGUCAUUUUUUAGAUGAACAUUUUGUUGUUUUUGAAUCCAGCAUCUACUUCAAAACUGUUAUGAGAAGUUA